rnacentral:rRNA from 2 species
ACGUAUGGAGCAAGCGUUAUCCGGAUUUACUGGGUGUAAAGGGAGUGUAGGUGGCAUCACAAGUCAGAAGUGAAAGCCCGGGGCUCAACCCCGGGACUGCUUUUGAAACUGUGGAGCUGGAGUGCAGGAGAGGCAAGUGGAAUUCCUAGUGUAGCGGUGAAAUGCGUAGAUAUUAGGAGGAACACCAGUGGCGAAGGCGGCUUGCUGGACUGUAACUGACACUGAGGCUCGAAAGCGUGGGGAGCAAACAG